rnacentral:rRNA from 1 species
UACGUAGGGGGCAAGCGUUGUUCGGAAUUACUGGGCGUAAAGCGUGCGCAGGCGGUUCGCUAAGACAGAUGUGAAAUCCCCGGGCUUAACCUGGGAACUGCAUUUGUGACUGGCGGGCUAGAGUAUGGCAGAGGGGGGUAGAAUUCCACGUGUAGCAGUGAAAUGCGUAGAGAUGUGGAGGAAUACCGAUGGCGAAGGCAGCCCCCUGGGCCAAUACUGACGCUCAUGCACGAAAGCGUGGGGAGCAAACAGG